UCUUAGAGAUUCACUCGUUUUUGUCCCGUUCAGAAAAAAUUAUGAAAAGAAAAAUUAAAAUUUAAUAUUAUUUACUAGUCCCUUACACGUUGCCACAGUUUUGACAUUUAAAUUCGGGACAGUUUGUAGAGAAACAUAUUAAAUGAAAUGUAGAAAGAAAAUCAAAGGUCUAAUUUGGAAGAAACAAUUGUAAAGAUUGAUAUAUCGAGUCUCUUAAUUAUUUUCUUUAGUAAUAAAAAUGUAACUUAUGGGCGUUACAUCAUCACGUAGCGGUGAAACGGUGGAAUUAUUGAGUUUGAUUAAAAUGAGACUCUAGACAGAUCUAGAGAGGAUCUGGUUUGUGUCUGUGGCGAUUCCGCAUGAAAAGCCGCUCCGACAAAGUCUCCAGGUUAAUCCAGGAUCCUCGUAGAAAGUACGUCGUUUUGGAAGUUCAUUCAAAUGUUAAGUAUGAGAAUUCGGUGUAAAAGGGCGUACAAAAAGGCGAAUGAAUAUAUUUUUGUAGUUGUAAAUAUAUAGUUUUAUUAAUGGUUCUUUGCACGUA